GUUAAAUCAAGUUUGCAAGCGGUAGGACGCGUCGAUGCUCGUUUUUUCUCUCGUGAAACCACUACGGAAAAACUAUUUGAAAUCGUUACACACGCACGAACGGAAGUGAGCACGGACCACGAUAGAAACAAUAUUCAAUUGGUUGGAGUGCCAAAAAAAAAACAACAGAACAGAAGAGGAAAGAAGGCAGGAACGAUCCUCCAACGUGCUAGCGCCUGGUAGAGGAGAAGCAGCAGG